UAAUGCAUCAUUUGGAGUUAACAGCAGAUUAAGCACAGAUGUAGGAAAAAGUCCAUCCUCCAGUCCUACCAAAUUGAAAUCAGUUAGCCAUUUUUUUGGGACCAAUGCAGCAGCAUAGUCCUAUUUGCCACAGUUCACCACUCAUGCAGAAGCUCUCAUUUGUCUUCUGGCUGUCCCCAGGAGCCCUGCAAGAGGGAAGACUCUAAAGGCAGGUGUUGGUGAUGGGUACAAUCUCAUUGUGACCUACCUGUACGCAAUAUGGCAUCAAUCUUCCUUCUGAGCAGAUCCAUGUGGUGUACCCAUUUAAGAUCCUUGAAGCCGCCUGAAUCUACUCUCCAUUAGAGCUCCCACAGGUGGAGCUGAAGAGAGCAAUGCAGAUGGUGGAGACUACCCAUAAAAAUCAGCAUGGACAUGGCUUCCAAAUCACUGUUAAGUCUGGCUUGGCUCCAUCCAUGCUAGCCUGGUGAAACUCCAAGCAGAAGCAGGUGAGGUGGUGGUAGGUUUGAGCCACCAACCUGGAAUCCAGGUCCCUACAGUAUUCCAUGUUGCUGGGACUUGGCUUGGCCUGUUACAAGAAACAGGGCCCACUCCAAAGUUUGGAACAGGACUUGCAUAUUCUUUGGGGAUGUAGGACCCCAGGUUCAGCUUUGGAUCCUGAGUACAACUUUGUGAAGUUCCUGGAAUGAAUGAGUGCUUGACAUGCCCAAUCCUGUAUGCUGACCUCUCCUGGGGAAGUCGUUAGAGCUGUUGGCACUGAACACUUCGCAGGAUUGUGCCCUUGGGCAGGCAACCAUGGCGGGUGGCCACUUUUGCUUGGCUCUGAGAAUGCAGAACUUGGAAACCUGUACCUGCCCAGCACAAGUUUAAACAUCAACAGCUCUUUUUUCUUCCUACCACUACCACUUGUGAAUUACAGGACGCUGUUCCCCCAGUGUGGAAAAAUCCCAUGUCCUGAACUUGUCUUCAUCUAUAGUAAAUUUGGAGGCAGGGGAGAAAUGGAGGGGGAGGGAUGGGGAAUAUGUUUUGUGAUUUAUUUCCCCACCUUUGAUGUCCUCAUUCUUUUCUCCUCCUCCUCACUCUAAAAACAUUUGCAAUCUCCCUUUUCUUGCUUCAAGCUUUUUUUCCCCUUGAUCCUGCUGCUUUAAUAAAGUAAAACAUUGUGUGCCCCAGGUAUAGAUUUGCUGAGAGUUAGUUAGUUUUGAAAUUCCAUGUAGAACGAAGAGUCCUGAAAGGCUUUUUUCUUUGCCAUGUGUUUGGCAAAGAAAGGUAGAACAGAUUUCUCUUCCC